rnacentral:rRNA from 1 species
CCGGCGACCGGCGCACGGGUGAGUAACACGUAUGGAACCUGCCCGCAGCAGGGGGAUAAGCGGAAGAAAUUCCGUCUAAUACCGCGUAGCAACGUUGGGAGGCAUCUCCCGAUGUUUAAAGAUUUAUCGGCUGCGGAUGGCCAUGCGGCGCAUUAGCUAGUCGGCGGGGUAACGGCCCACCGAGGCGACGAUGCGUAGGGGUUCUGAGAGGAAGGUCCCCCACACUGGUACUGAGACACGGACCAGACUCCUACGGGAGGCAGCAG